rnacentral:rRNA from 1 species
GUGGACGCCAGUCUGCGUGGAGCCGACCUUGAAAUACCACCCUUUAAUGUUUGAUGUUCUAACGUGGACCCGUAAUCCGGGUUGCGGACAGUGUCUGGUGGGUAGUUUGACUGGGGCGGUCUCCUCCUAAAGAGUAACGGAGGAGCACGAAGGUUGGCUAAUCCUGGUCGGACAUCAGGAGGUUAGUGCAAUGGCAUAAGCCAGCUUGACUGCGAGCGUGACGGCGCGAGCAGGUGCGAAAGCAGGUCAUAGUGAUCCGGUGGUUCUGAAUGGAAGGGCCAUCGCUCAACGGAUAAAAGGUACUCCGGGGAUAACAGGCUGAUACCGCCCAAGAGUUCAUAUCGACGGCGGUGUUUGGCACCUCGAUGUCGGCUCAUCACAUCCUGGGGCUGAAGUAGGUCCCAAGGGUAUGGCUGUUCGCCAUUUAAAGUGGUACGCGAGCUGGGUUUAGAACGUCGUGAGACAGUUCGGUCCCUAUCUGCCGUGGGCGCUGGAGAACUGAGGGGGGCUGCUCCUAGUACGAGAGGACCGGAGUGGACGCAUCACUGGUGUUCGGGUUGUCAUGCCAAUGGCACUGCCCGGUAGCUAAAUGCGGAAGAGAUAAGUGCUGAAAGCAUCUAAGCACGAAACUUGCCCCGAGAUGAGUUCUCCCUGAGACUUUAGGUCUCCUGAAGGAACGUUGAAGACGACGACGUUGAUAGGCCGGGUGUGUAAGCGCAGCGAUGCGUUGAGCUAACCGGUACUAAUGAACCGUGAG